rnacentral:rRNA from 1 species
AACGAACGCUGGCGGCAGGCCUAACACAUGCAAGUCGAGCGCCCCGCAAGGGGAGCGGCGGCCGGGUGGGUAACGGGUGGGAAGAGGCCAUUUGCUGCGGAAUAGUCCCGGGAAACUGGGGGUACUACGGGAAACGCCAUCUGGGGGCGAGUUUUAUCGGCGAAGGCAUAGCCCGCGUUGGAUUAGGGGGUUGGUGGGGUCAUGGCCUACCAAGCCGACGAUCCAUAGCUGGUGUGAGAGUAUGGGCAGCCACACUGGGACUGAGACACGGCCCAGACUCCUACGGGAGGCAGCAGUGGGGAAUGGUAGACAAUGGGGGCAACCCUGAUCUAGCCAUGCCGGGAGAGUGAUGAAGGCCUUAGGGUUGUAAAGCGCUAUCAGCUGGGAAGAUAAUGACGGUACCAGCAGAAGAAGCCCCGGCUAACUCCGUG